rnacentral:rRNA from 1 species
UGGGGAAUAUUGCACAAUGGGCGCAAGCCUGAUGCAGCCAUGCCGCGUGUAUGAAGAAGGCCUUCGGGUUGUAAAGUACUUUCAGCGGGGAGGAAGGGAGUAAAGUUAAUACCUUUGCUCAUUGACGUUACCCGCAGAAGAAGCACCGGCUAACUCCGUGCCAGCAGCCGCGGUAAUACGGAGGGUGCAAGCGUUAAUCGGAAUUACUGGGCGUAAAGCGCACGCAGGCGGUUUGUUAAGUCAGAUGUGAAAUCCCUGGGCUCAACCUGGGAACUGCAUCUGAUACUGGCAAGCUUGAGUCUCGUAGAGGGGGGUAGAAUUCCAGGUGUAGCGAUGAAAUGCGUAGAGAUCUGGAGGAAUACCGGUGGCGAAGGCGGCCCCCUGGACGAAGACUGACGCUCAGGUGCGAAAGCGUGGGGAGCAAACAGG